rnacentral:lncRNA from 1 species
CCAAAUUUUACUGUUGUAGUAGAAAUUUGUUUUACAAAACGUCUCUCAUGAGAAAAGAAAGGAAAGCAAUAACAUUUAUUUAUUUUCUUUUUCUCUGCAGGCAUUCUAAUAUAUGCAUUCUUCAUGACAACUGUGUGAAACAUAUUAAUAUCCUCAUUGUUAAAGAUAAAGAAACUAAAUCUCAGGAAGAAAAACUAAGUGAAGACAAAAGAAGGAUUUGAACUGAAUUAUUCUGGGAGAUUCUGGGAGUCUUUUCUCCAACACUCCAAUGGCAUCUGACUAUGUGAGCUGAUAAAGUCUAUAGAUCUGUGAGUUGGCAGAGCUGUGAAAAGUUUCUCCCUUCUUAGGACAUAAGCAGGAAAUCUUGAUACAGGAAUCA